ACUGGGGUAGCUCAGUUGGUAGUGUGAGAAUCUUAAUCUCAGGGUCAUGGGUUUGAGAGCCCCAUUUUGAGCA